AACGAACGCUGGCGGCAUGCCUAACACAUGCAAGUCGAACGAGACCUUCGGGUCUAGUGGCGCACGGGUGCGUAACGCGUGGGAAUCUGCCCUUGGGUUCGGAAUAACAGUUAGAAAUGGCUGCUAAUACCGGAUGAUGACGUAAGUCCAAAGAUUUAUCGCCCAGGGAUGAGCCCGCGUAGGAUUAGCUAGUUGGUGGGGUAAAGGCUCACCAAGGCGACGAUCCUUAGCUGGUCUGAGAGGAUGAUCAGCCACACUGGGACUGAGACACGGCCCAGACUCCUACGGGAGGCAGCAGUGGGGAAUAUUGGACAAUGGGCGAAAGCCUGAUCCAGCAAUGCCGCGUGAGUGAAGAAGGCCUUAGGGUUGUAAAGCUCUUUUACCCGGGAAGAUAAUGACUGUACCGGGAGAAUAAGCCCCGGCUAACUCCGUG
rnacentral:rRNA from 1 species